UUUUUCCUCAGUCGGUGCUAUGAAAUUGGUGUGUUCUGGUUAUUGAAUCUGUGAUUACAUGACACCUGGGGAUUUUUUGAAGUAAAAGAGAAGAAAAUGCUUAAGAAAAUGGACCAUUCUGAAGCAUUUUAUUUUUCUUUCAUCCGAAUGGUCCUUAGUUUGUGGAGAAUAUUCUCGAUAGGGCUGAACUAGUUUUUCUUUCGAAGAUUGAAUCGAGAUUUAUUACAUUUUUGUGGUUUGGAAAAUCCUUAUUAAUUGGUUGAUAGAGUAAUUUUGGGGAUCCAUCAUUGAUGUUAGACAUUUUUUGAAUUGGGAACUAUUCUGAUUCUUACACGUCGUGUUUAGGUCUAACAUUUUCAGACUAUAAACUUCUUAGAUACGUGUCCAAUGUUCCUCAAAAGUCUCCUUACUUAUACAGGAAUCAAAUAUCUCUUUUUUACUCGCUUAUACGAAUUUAUGAAUGAAGCAAUGGUAAGUUAGUAUAAUUUCUUAGGAAUUUGAUCAAAUAGAAUCUGCCUAUCCACCUUUGCUAAAAGGAUUCUCGAGGCUCUCAGAGAAUUAAUGGUAAACAAUAAGGAUAGGGAGAAUAAGGAGAUAAAGAGCAGAAGUAAGACAAGGUAGCUCCAAAAUAUUGGGGUUGUGACAAUGUUGAUAAUGUUGCUCUAGGCAAAACAUGACUAUGAAAGCAGACUCGACAUGGGUUUCCCCCAAACACUUGGAUUUUGCCUCUGGUUUCACAGGCUUUUUUGAAGUAUGGCUAGAUACUAGACCAGUGAUAGCCCCAAACACUAGGAUUUUGCCUCUGGUUUCACGGGCUUUUGAGAUACAAGAAGGGACUAGGCUUGUAUAUAAUAUUUUGAGCUGCUUUUAAGGUUUAUGGCACAUUUUUUUAUCUCUUAAUUGGAUUUGAAAUUCAAUACAACACCCUAAAUGGUUGUUUACUAGUGAUCUUAUGUUUUUUUUUUGUAUUUUCCCAAUGAGAUGUUUUGCAACAAUAAAUGGUUGCUUAGGUGUUAAGGAAUGUUUUAAAAAAUUUCUUAAAUAAAAUUUUAAAUUGUUUUCAAGAAUAAUUUUUUUUUUUUUGAGAACUUAAAUGUGAAAAACAGUUUUCUUGGCUUUUUCUCCAUGAAUGCACUAGAAAGAGUUUUUAAGAAAAGAAAUGAAAUCAUCAACCCAAUCAAAGAGAGAGAAAAAAAAAAAGAAAUGAUGAAAUUAUCAAAAUGUUUCCUAGUUCGUGUUAGUUUUGUGUUGUAAGAAAACAUGUACGCUUGCAAGCUUGGUUAAAAUGUGUGAAAAUCAAUGAUACAUAUCAAGGUAGCUUAUUUAAAUCAAUGAUCAGGUUCAUAUUUAUUACGUCUUAGGUUUUAUUAGGUAAGUAGAGACUUAUGUUUUAAUUAGGUAAGUAGAGACUUAUGUUUUAAUUAUUCUUGUUGGUAUUAUCCUUUAUUCGUAAAAGCUAGAAUUCAUAUUUGUAUGUCUAUCAUCUUCUGAAAUACAUUCAUAUUGUUUGGUGGAAGUUUGAUGUAUAUUUUUGAAUUUACUUUGAUUAGUUUUCUUAAGACUUUUGUUGUGCUUAGGAGAGAAUUUGAUUAAUGUGCUUCUAAAGGAUUGUGGACUAUGUUGCAUGGGUUGGGGUAUGAGUGUCAAGUGCAGGUGUUUGUCUAAUUGUUCAAUCCUUCAUAACUCAAAUUUUAGGUUGUGAAGACUUGGCUAAAAAUGAUCCUAAAAAGGGGCAUGGACACCUUUUCCCUCUAAAAAAAAAUCAAUUAAAAUAAAUUGACAUGAAAAUAAAUUGACAAUGAAAAUAAAUUGACAAUGAAAAUAUCCUAUUUAAAAGCUCCCACCUUAAGGUACCCUAGGUACUACCUUAGCUAAACAUGAACUCAACCUCUCCCAAGCCUUGGGUCUUCCUUUGUGACCCUUAGAGCAUCCCAUUAUGUGGUUCUCUUGAGUGCUCAGGUGGUCCACCAAUGGUUUUUUGGGACUGUACCUUAGGUACACCUUAAUGACCUUUAAGUAUUACCUUAAGAGACCCUAGGUACUACCUUAACUAAACUUGAACUCAACCUCUCCCAAGCCUCGGGCUUUCCUUUGUGAGCCUUAGAGCAUCUCAUUAUGUGGUUCUCUUGAGUGCUCAAGUGGUCCACCAAAGGUUUUUUGCAAUUGUACCUUAGGUACUACCUUAAGAGCCCUUAGGUACUACCUUAAUGGCCUUUAGGUACUACCUUAAGGGACCCUAGGUACUACCUUAGCUAAACAUGAACUCAACCUCUCCCAAGCCUCGGGUCUUCCUUUGUGACCCUUAGAGCAUCCCAUUAUGCGGUUCUCUUGAGUGCUCAAGAGGUUCAUCAAAGGUUUUUUGGGACUGUACCUUAAGUACUACCUUAAGGGCCCUUAGGUACUACCUUAAUGACCUUUAGGUACUAGCUUAAGGGACCCUAGGUACUACCUUAAGGUAAACAUGAACUCAACCUCUCCCAAGCCUCGGGCCUUCUUUUGUGACCCUUAAAGCAUCCCAUUAUGUGGUUCUCUUGAGUGCUCAAGUGGUCUACCAAUGGUUUUUUGGGACUGUACCUUAGGUACUACCUUAAGGGCCCUUAGGUACUACCUUAAUGGCCCUUAGGUACUACCUUAAGGGACCCUAGUUAUUACCUUAGCUAAACAUGAACUCAACCUCUCCCAAGCCUCGGGUCUUUCUUUGUGACCCUUAGAGUAUCCCAUUAUGUGGUUCUCUUCAGUGCUCAAGUGGUCCACCAAAGUUAUUUUGCACUGUACCUUAGGUACUACCUUAAAGGCCCUUAGGUACUACCUUAAUGGCCUUUAGGUACUACCUUAAGGGACCCUAGGUACUACCUUAACUAAACUUGAACUCAACCUCUCCCAAGCCUCGGGUCUUCCUUUGUGACCCUUAGAGCAUCCCAUUAUGUGGUUCUCUUUAGUGCUCAAGUGGUCCACCAAAGUUAUUUUGCACUGUACCUUAAGUACUACCUUAAGAGCCCUUAGGUACUACCUUAAUGGCCUUUAGAUACUACCUUAAGGAACCCUAGGUACUACCUUAGCUAAACUUGAACUCAACCUCUCCCAAGCCUCGGGUCUUCCUUGAUGACCCUUAGAGCAUCCCAUUAUGUGGUUCUCUUGAGUGUUGAAGUGGUCCACCAAAGGUUUUUUGGGACUGUACCUUAGGUACUACCUUAAGGGCCCUUAGGUACUACCUUAAUGACCUUUAGGUACUACCUUAAGGGACCUUAGGUACUACCUUAAGGUAAACUUGAACUUAACCUCUCCCAAGCCUCGGGUCUUCCUUGGUGACCCUUAGAGCAUCCCAUUAUGUGGUUAUCUUGAGUGUUGAAGUGGUCCACCAAAGGUUUUUUAGGACUAUACCUUAGGUACUACCUUAAGGGCCCUUAGGUACUACCUUAGUGGCUUGAGGUACUACCUUAAGAGACCUUAGGUACUACCUUAAGGUAAACUUGAACUCAACCUCUCCCAAGCCUCGGGUCUUCCUUGGUGACCCUUAUAGCAUCCCAUUAUGUGGUUGUCUUCAGUGUUGAAGUGGUCCAUCAUUGGUUUUUUGGGACUGUAGCUUAGGUACUACCUUAAGGGCCCUUAGGUACUACCUUAGUGGCCUUCAGGUACUACCUUAAGGGACCCUAGGUACUACCUUAAGGUAAACAGACUCUUUCCUUUAAGGAGAUAAGAGCUUUGAUGAACCAACUUGGAGAAAAUUUGACAGUAAUGAUGACAUGGAGUCAAUAUGGGGAUGAACUCAAUCAAUGGUACUAGCAAGGUAAGCAAUACUCCCAUUUAAAGGAUAUGUAUGUGUUUGGGGGGUGGAGUCACAUUUGAGUAUGCUUAGCAUUUGUCAUGUUACUGAAAUGCAUGCUCAUCCCCAAUCUGCUUCUAAUAUUAGGAGUAUGCUUAACGAGAAAUACAUUACCUGCAUAAGUUGCUCAAAAGUUCAUCUGUUCAGUGUGCAUGCAAGUUAUACUAGCAUAUAAAAUGAAAAAUUGCAAACAGGACAUGUGGAAAAGGUCUAAUGUUAGAUCCCAGAUUUGAUUCAUAAUCCAAUGUGUCAUUUGUUUUUAACUAUGGUUAAACUUGAAAGAAAGAAAUUUAAAAUACUUUCACUCAAACCAACUUUAUUUGGUUGAGAAGUUUGUACCCUAUCCAAUUUCACCCAAACACAAGGUAGUAAAAAAACAUUAUCUGUAAUUGUACAUGUCAGCAGCAAGGAUGGCAUGAAUGUCCUUGUUCUCAAUGUAAGAUAAAGUGUAUAUCUCGGGGACAUGGGCUCUAAAAUGCAUGGCAACUAUGAUAACUGACCAAUAUUUGACCCAUUUCGAUGAACAUAGAUAAUGUAUUUGGAGACUGGCUCAAAAAGGGAUAGGAGAGUUAAGAUGAUCUCACUGGGUGAGUCUUGGAUUUGGAAUUUGAGGGCCUUCUGAACUCUUAGGAAUCAGAUCUGCUGGUAUGCUGAUGCUGACAAUUGAUUUGGUUUAUCCAUACAUGGGCUGGCUUGAGACUAGGUUCUGGAAAACAUAUGCUCACCUUGAAUCACAAAAUAGUGUAAGAGUGACAUAACCUGAACCUAAUUUUUAUGAAUGUUAUUGUAUGAUGGUACUUUUAGAAAGCUGAACUCAAACCCAACCACAUCAGACUUGGUGUGAUCAUAGUUUGAUAACUAUAUUGCAACAUCCCAUUUGAUGCAUGCAUUUUAAUGGAAAAUUUUCAACUACUUUAAAAGCUAGUCGCCGAAGCCAGUUCUUAGAGUGUUGCUGAUUUGUGCUGUUUAUAAUGAAAUGUGGAACCGUGCUUACAUGCAGCCAUUUCCUGCAAAAUGCAGAGGCUUAGGUCUGCUACUAGGCAGCCCAUUCUAGCACCCUAGAAAAAGGAGCCUACAUUGGGUGAAUUUAGGUUAAAAGAUGAGUGCUCCGGAUGCAACUCGAGCAGAACCUGCUCUUGUAAUUUUGUAUUUGAACAAAGCUGAAGCUAGGGAUAAGAUAUGCAGGGCAAUACAAUAUGGUUUGAAAAUUUGGAGUGAUGGACAGCCUGGUACUGCCCAAAAUGUUGACAAAUCAACCAGCUUGGCAUGGAAAGUUUUCCAUCUUUUUAAGGUUGGGUGAUACCGUACAUUGUGGUGUAAAACUUUUAUAUAUAUAUAUAUAUAUAUAUAUAUUAAUCUUGUCUCCUA